GAAAUACCCCUGAUUUUUUCUUUGCUUAGCCGUUUUGCUGCUUCUUCCCACAUUUAAAAGACGCUUUUGUCCAUUACUUCCACGCGUUUGUCGUCGAUGGAUGCUCUAUUUGGACCGAGUCUUUUCCAUUUUUUUUUUCUUGCUUUCCCUUGCCUUCUCACAGAUCUAGAUCUCUGUUCUGUUCUUCUCGACCUUAUCCUUUAUCGAUCUCAGUUUGUGGUGCCUCGCCGAUUACGGCCUGCUCUGUUCCUCUCAAACCCUUGAAAGCAUCGUCGAUCAGAUCUCUGUUUCAAGUUUAUCCAGUGGAUUUUUGUUUUUCAUUCCACUGCUGUCUCUCGAUUUGUAUUGCCUCUCUGAUUCUGGCUUUGUCCGUGUGUGUCCAACGGUAGAAACCGGCUUAAAUCAAUUUUCUGAGGCUUGGUUCUGCUCCUUGGGUCGCUGACCUGGAGAUUAAAUUAUCAAAAAUUUGGUGUUUUCACGUUACUGAUUCGAAUUGGUCAUUGCUGAGAGGAUCAAAUUGCCAUAAAAUCUGUAACAAAUUUCCAAGUAUACAAGAAGGUUGCUGGGUUGAGUUCGGUUACACAGAUAGCGCCGCAGUGUACCAUACAAAGAAUUUGAAAAAUCUUGAGUUUUUUGGAUUUAAAGCUAUUUGUUCUCAACGUCCAAGGCGCUUUGUCCUCAAGGUAUACCACAGACUACAUCACUCUCCACAAAGGUUAUGUUUCUUUUUCUUAUUAUACUCUCUAACCUACUAAUAUUACGAUACAUUACCCUUUUCUUGCUCAUGCAUAAAAAAAAUAUAUAUAAACAAAAAAACCAGCUUAAAAAACUAAUUUAUAUUCAUCUUCUUCAUUGUAUGGUUAAGCUUACAGAGAACCUCUUAUAGGUAUCGUCUAAAUCCUCAAUCACAAUACAACGAUUUAAUGGGGGACAGGGUGGACUUAGCCUCACAAUGGAUGUGGUUCAAAUUUACCUUUGACGAGAAUUGAACCUAAGACUUCUCACUUACAAAUGAAGAGGAAUACUACUAGACUGUAGUACUAAGUAGCAAGAGAGAUGUUGGUAUGCAUGUUAUAUUACAAAAAUUAGGAAUGUUGGUACGCCAUCCUGAAAGAUUGUUUUUUCAAAAGCUAUGGCUCUAUCUCAAGGAGUGUUUUAUGUUUACAACUAUACAAAGUAGGAAAAAAAGUUUGAUCACUCGUGAAUUGAAUCACCCUAAAUUGCAUUAUGAAUUGAAUUGAAUGAAAAUCUAAAGAUGAAGGGAAAGUUUUCAUAAUUUCACUAUGCAAGAUUUCACUAUGCCAGAUUUCAUUUGAAGGCACCAAAACAUGUGCAAAAUUAAAGUUGGGGUUUUCAUACUCUAUUGGGUUUCGAAAGUCAUGAAAUAACCAAACCAACAUCCAGUACACCUAAGAAAAACAUAAGCAAGAAAAUAUAUCCAACUCCUCAAUCAUUAAUCAAACACAGUAAUACAAUCAUUGAAAAACUCUCAAUCAUUUAUCAAAAUUGAAUUAAUAAAAUUGGAUGUUGGGGUCAAACUUUUGUGUCCGCCCAAGGAUAUUUGAGGGUAAAAAUUUAAUUUUACUCAAUUUAGCUUGUAAGUUAUUUUAUUUUCAGUCUUCAAAUUUAGAGUAAAUAUUUAACAUUCUACAAUGUAGUUUCAAUUUCAAUAAGCAUCCAGGAAAUAAAAUGACAUCAAAAAAGAGCCCAUCAAUUUAAUGAAGAAUUCUCCAAAACUCAGAACUUUAAAUGUAAUUCUACGAAAUCAUGAAAAAUUUACUAAAACCCAAAUAAUACGUAACAAAAUUGAAGCAUAGCUUGACAUGCAAAAGGUUAAAAGGUACCUGAAGUGAUGAGCAAUGGCUUGAGAUACUUUUUUUUACUCACCACUUUGUAAGUUGAUCUUUACAUAAACUACAUCAAUUUAAAAAAAAAAAAAAAAAAAAAAAAAACCAUUACGUUAAAUUCAUCUGAAUAUUUAAUCACAGGUGCACCAGAAAAUUAUAAAAGUUAAAAUUAAAAAACUCCAAGAUGAAUUUAAGCAAAACCCAUAUCAGAUUCUAGACAUCAACACUGUAAAUAAAUAAAUAAAUUGAAAUUUUCCUACCUUUAAGGUUCAAGGUUUUUACUUUAGAAUCCAUGGAAACCCCAGAUUAGAUUCUAAGUGUGUUUAUCAGAAAUAAUAAUCUAAUAAGAAAUUAACACUGAAAAUAAAUAAGAAACCAAAAAAAAUUUGAAUUGUCUUACCUUUACUUUUUGGGUUUACACUGUGGAAUCCAAUCGAGAACUGAAGGAUGAGAAUGGUGAUGGUUUUCGGUGUUUCUAGGUUCGUGGGUGGGGUUGCGGUUUUGAAUCGUGGUGUUAAGAGAGAGCGAGAGAAACAAUGAUGUUCACCGGAAAGGAAAAAGAAGAUAAAAUGGACGGACUGAUUUUUUAUCACAGUGCCCCAAAUAAAUAGACGGUCCAGAUUCAAUUAGAUUUACAUUGGAGUACUAUUGAAAUUACACAAUUAAUACAGGGGCAUUUUCGAUAUUACACUGUUCUUAUGAACAGUAACUACUAUGUGUUUCAGCUUUAAGGAGUGUAUUCAAUUGAGAAUUUGAGAUACUUUAAUGGAUUUGUAAAUCAAUGAAUUUUUAUGGAGUUUAAUUGAUUUGUAGAGAUUUCAUAUAAAAUUUUGAUUCAAUUUCCUCAAAAUCUCAUGGGGACAUGUGUGGAUGUUUAAAAUACACUACGAAAUCUCUUCAAUUCCCUCUAAUUUCUCAACUUUCUAAGAUUCUUUAAAAUCAAUUUGUAAUUGAAUACACCUGAAAUGUUAUAAACUUCUUUAAAAUCCUAAUUAAAUGCACCUUGAAUUUUAAAGAAUUACUUAAAAUCCUGAUUGAAUACCCAAAUCCCUUAAAAUCCUAAUUGAAUACAUCCCCCUUAAUGUAGAUUGAAUUUAUUUUUUAAUGAUGACACAUUAUUUAGAAACGUAAAAAUUUAUAAACUAAACGACAUGGAAAUUGAUAAUUGGUCGUUGAUUAACAUAUUUAUUUUUUAAUGGUGACACAUAAUUUAGUUUACAAAUUUAGUCUCCUUAGUAUUAUAUAUAGGGAAGUGUUAUUGGCACUCCAAAAAUUUCAUUUUAAAUUCCUUACAAGUGUAUUUGUCUUUCAUAAUAUAGAAAGUUUAAAAUGUAGAAUGAAAUUUUUAGAGUGCUAAUAACAAUUAUAUAUAUAUAUAUAUAUAUUUUAAAGUACUGUUGACCUUAAAACUACCUAGUUUACGUGACGCACAGACCCGUAUAAUUAAUAAGCUAACUACUUCAUUCGGUCUAAUGCGGGAUGUGUCAACUCAUCGGCCGAGCUCGACCGUGGAGUAAAAUGUAUGCUGAUGUGACGUUGGGCGCGCUGAUAACUUCUUGAUCUCGCGAUUGCAACCAAGGAAUGAACACGUCUCGACCUUCGGGUUCUAAAGUUUGAAGACAAGACUACUAGUUCUACGAAGUUCAAUAUCGAAUUCAGCUUUCAGUGUGCCAAAUAUAGUAACCUGUUAACAUUUCACUUCACCGAGAUACCUCUACUAACAAGGACUCAUAAAUCUUUGUUGACAGAGAUUUGGAUAAUUAACCAGUCGAUCUCGAAGCAAUGUUGUUUAUCCAAACUGAAGGUGCUCCUCGGUUGACUGAUUCUACGGCUCUAGUGUUGUUUAUCAAAACUGAAGAUGUUGUCAGUUACCUCCACAGUGCUGUUUAUCCAAACUGAAUAUGUGUUGGCAAAAAAAAAUCUCAAGGUGUUUGAAAGAUUUGGACAUGGUAGUUGUGUGUUGAAUUGGAGGGGGUUUUGAAUGAUGCACCCCCACUCUAUUUAUAGUAGCGAUUUCCUCAAUGAUCGAAGUAUAACUUUACUCGAACUAGGACUCCCAAUCCAAAUAAAUCUCGCCCAAGUCCUAACACUCUUAGGACUCUGAAUCCAGCUCCCUAAUUGUUCUGAUUCUUUCCCUUGAUUCUCAACAUCUUUUUUUACUCGAAGCAUCCCUAAUUUUUGAAAACCUUACCGCAUCGAGAUUCGACCUCCUGAUCCUUAUCCAAACAAAAAUCAUAUUAUGAUAGGACUCAGAUGAACUCUACUGGGCUCAACCUAUGGCAGCGAACUUCUUAUAAGACCGAGAACAAUUAUGGGCUCAACCCAAAGUGUUAUUUUGGACCUAAAUAUUGCCCCUUCACUUUUGAGGUGUUUGACCUACAACAUAUGGCCGAACUUCAACCUUGAAAAAGCGAUCCAUUAUCAAACAAGAAAUAAACCCUUGGCCUACACUUUUCGGCCGAUCAAAAGAUCCAUUAUCAAACAAGAAAAAGACCCUUGGCCUACUUUCCAUCCACUCAUAUGCAUUUAUCAAGCACGAUCUCCCACGAUCAAGGUGCGUAGAUGCCGGAACGUCGCUUCAUAAUGAUCAUGCUUUAAAGCUCGUUGCCACACGUAAUCGUGCAAUCUUGAUUUGCGUGCUUUUCGGGCUCUUUGCAUGGAUCUUUUAUUUUAUAAUGAAUGUGAAACAUUUUGACCGGAUUUACCCCUCAAAUUUUGUAUUUGAGAUUGUCGAUCUUCUUCCUAAUUUGCCUAUAAAUACCAAUUAUGGCUUCAUUCCUUAUUUAAGCGUUCAAAAAUCCUAAAACUCUUGCCACUUUGCUUCUGAUUGUUCAAAACCCAAAAAAAAAAAAAAAACCAACCUUUGAAACCCAGAAAGAAACCUCCAAGGCCUUGCUUCAAUAGUUGCCAACACCUUCGUCACCAAGCUUGCCGAAGAAUGUGACAAGUGUCACAAUUUCAUUGAUCGGAGUGCCAUCAAGAUCUCAAAUUUAAAGAGGAUUCAGUUGAUUCUCAUCAGAUCCUGGGCCAUUUGUUUAAAAAUGACGUCCCAAAGGUCAUCAUUGAAAUGCUGAAGAGCCAUUGCCUGAGUCUUUUAUUCUAGGGUUACAGUUGGUCAAAAUGGGAAUCGACCAAACCUCAGGGAGCCUGGCCUUCAACCUUGCAACCAGGGCUGCUUGGGUUAGCCGAACCUUACUUCAACACCAACUGAAAAUUACUUGGCAUCUUCAAUGUCAUUAAACUCUUAACCAUCGAUAUUAACAUAGAUUGAGAGUUCCUGAUGGUUGCUAUAAGUUUCUAGUGCUUGGCCACUAACACUAUGGUGCUCUGGCUCGACCUUAUCAAACCGAUCGUUCUAGAAGUAACAGCUAUCCUCGGCACCUCUCCAUCUGUUCUUCCAGUUGAUACCUCUCUCUCUCGGUAUCAAUUUUACUUAGAUUUGAAAACCGUCUUCGACGAGCAUGUUCUUGAAGUUUUGAAAAAAAAAGACAACCAUGAGGAAGUACCAAAAGACGAAGUAAACAAAUUACACUAUAACUUCUUCAACUAUAACACUCUUAUUAAUCACUUUGUCGGCCGAGUAAAAGAAAAACUCAAGAAUGGAGAACACUAGGCUUUCUUGUUCUACUGGAAUAAUAAGUUCAUAUUUUAUACCAAGUCAAACAAAUGCCUUGCCGAGAAUAUGCCAGUGGCCGAAGCCUUGGCUAGUGGUCACAAUUUGGCCCUUAGUUCCGCUAUCCUCAUCAACCUCACGCGCUGCUUGGCCGAGGCAACUGUCGGGAAAAUUGACCUGCACCAAAACAACCCAUUCUAAGUCUUUCAACUUUGGUUGUAGGUAUAUUUUGCCACUCUGAGGCCAGAGAAUUUUAACUUCGACUCUUCUUAAGCAAUGGGCCUUCAAUUAGCUUCAUGCCUUACCCUGUCUCACUUAGCCGAAGAAAUUUUUAAAUACUUAUUCGGCCUAGACGACCUUACCAACAACGAAUUCUUGAUUUGUUGUCGGAGAGACUAUCCCUCCUCAAUCAAAUUCCUAUAUCCGUAUGGGAGAAAACAAAAGAAGUAGAUCUUUGGCAGAAUUGGGGAUCGUUCGUGCUGGCCCGCAACCUUCAUUUCCUUUAUAACGUUUGACGGGUCGGUUGGGAAGUAUACCACUCCUAUUUUGUGGCUCGACAAAUAGACUAUCUCCAGGUUACCAUGUGCCUCUGCUCACCUCCCAGUCGAUUAUGAGUCGAGAACGACUUUCUAGUUCUUCAAAACGGGAAUGUGAAGAAGUAGAGCAAAAGUUCCAAGAACGAUGCACCAAAUUUCGCCUUCGGGCGAAUACCCCUGAAACCCACGGUACUAGUACUUUCAUUGACUGGUGGGAUAUCUAUACCAAGGAUUUCUUCGACAUGUUGGUCAAAGAAAUUAAAAACAAAAUCUUUGGCGAUCAACCAAUGAAAACUCUUACUCCAAAAUCCAAAGACACAGCUCAAGGUACUUUUAUUCUCAGUAUUUUGCUCAUAUAUAUAUUCGACCAAAAAUCUUCAUCCUGACUCUAAAUUAGUUUUUCCAGGUGGUCACUCAAUAAAGUGAGCCGAAAUGGUCGCGAUGGUCAUGGCAAAAAAAAAGCUCGCCCUUCUUCCAAAGAAGGCUGUUGCUAUCAUGGUCGCCUCUCCCAAGAUAACUUUGACCAUCCCAACCCUAACAAAUGUUGCUCCUUUGCAGGUCACUACUAUGUCACAUGCUGCUACCGUGGCUGAACCAAUCGACAUCCUAGUAGUUGAGGAAUCUAUAGCUCAAAUCUCGACCAUUCCUCAUCUCGAUGUUGUGGUCAUCAGCCCAAAAGUUGAUAUUCCUGAGGUGGUGACAGUUGUCCUGGCCAAAGUGACUCCCUCUCUUAAUCCAAAAUUAUUCCAACAUCGAAUAUUUUAGAGGAAGGGGUACAUAUCUUUCAAUACAUUUUUUUUAAAUAAACAAAAUAUCUUUGAUUGAUAUCUAAUCCUUUUCUGUCAUUAGGAAAACAAUAGCGAGCCGAUCCCGCUAGUGAGGUACCCUUGAUCAGUUAAGUAAGCAAAUAUAGAUCAUUUGCCUCUAGACAAAGGCAAAGUUGUCAUAUCCUCUGUGCCUAAUCCAAGCCAGGAUGAUAUCCAACUACUAGUAGGGGCCACUAGUCAUGCUAAUCCUAAGGUAGCCGCUAAGGGGCCAUCAGUCGAAAUGGUGGCUUUUACAGAAGAAGAAGCGAUCACAGAGACGCCGGUUCAUCACCUAGACCAAGAUCUCGGCAUCCCUGCCCAUGAUGUCACCUCAACCUUUGUAAGUUCUUUAUUUUGAUUCUGAAUUUUGUCUUGGAAUGCUAAACCAUGAUAAAAACGUCCAACUGUCAGGUGCCAAAUCGUUAAUUCUAUCGAAAAUUUUAUGUGCCGAAGGGUGUUGUCUAUAUUUCAUGGCUACUUAGGUGGCCAUCUAACGUAGAUAAACUUCAUUGGCCAUAUGAAUUGAAGAGCUAUCUUAAACAUUGGGCUUGCCAUUAAGCUCUCUGGGUUAAACCAACAGCCCAAAAGAUAUGGCCGAAGUAAUUUCUCGACAGGUUUAAAACAAUUCUCUGUUGUUUUUUCUUUUAGAUUUUGCUCAUCUAAACCCUUUUUUUUAUGUAGCCUUCAUGGGAAGUCGAGCUUGUCGCCUAUCUCACUAGUGCAUUCAGGAUGGUCGAUCAUUUCCCUAACCGAGUCCAACUCUCUAACCAAAUUGCUCGUCUUUGUAAGCUCUUCAAAUGAAAGGUCAAGACUUUGUUGGAGAGUGCCUGAACAAUUUUGCAGCUGACAGUUUGGUGAACAAUGAAAGUGUUGUCCACUUGACGACCGUCUUAGAGUGAACUCAGCUAUACUUUGAUAUUUUCUAGAAGGUUCUACAAGCUGAUGAGGACCUGAAAGCUGCAACGACUUCCUAGAAGGCUACCUUACCAGACCUAAAGGCCAUCAAAGCGAAAAAAGAACAAAUGGUAGAUCUCGAGAGUCACAUUUGCGAGCUUUAAUCCCAAAGAUCUGACAUUGCUUUUGAACUUAAGAAGGAAUUUGAGGUAAACAAACCUCGGUUUGCAGAGUAUGCGGCCGACUCAAAACGGAUACAAGCGUUGAAGGUGACAAGAAGACUUGGCAGGCCGAGAUCAUUAUGAGCGAAGUAAAAUGGUUAGACUGCCUAGAAUACUUUCUUCCCUCGACCCUAUAGCUCUAUCCUAGUGUCGACUUGUGGGCCGGUUGACUAUUUAUGUAUAUUCAUGUUGUCACAGCCCAUUCCGAAAUACUUUUAUCGAAUGUGUGAAAAUACCAAAAUGCCCUUGGGCGUUGCGAUAAGUCAUAUGUGACAUGGUUUUAGAAGUGGACCAAUAUAAUUAUUUUCCUAAGUUUUUGGGGCCAAUAAGAACUAAACCUUGGCUAGUUGUGAUUGGUGUGUAGAUUGGACCACACACAUCCACAUUACUUUAUCUCUCUCUUCCCUCCCGUGUUCUCUUUCUAUCUCUCGGACUCACUCUUUUCCCUCUCCUCUGUAUGGACAACCUUGAACCAAGCCAAAUCUUUGCAGAUCGAGGAAAAAAUGGUACCAUUAUCUUCAUGAGGACCACACAAGUUCAAAGGUACCCAUUUCAGGACAAUCCAAGCUUGCAACGAGCUCUAGGAGGUUCUCACGAAGCUCAGAGUGCUUCGUUGGCUCGGUUUUGACGUCGGGAUCACGAGGUUUGAAGGUGACCGAUUUUUAUGGGAUUUUCGCGACGAAUUUUUGAGGGAUUUGAAGCUCCAAAGAGGUGAGGCCUAUCCCGAGGACGAGCAUAUCCACAGGCGACUCGGGGGUUACGACCCGUCGACAUACCAGUGAGCGGGCUUUUGUUUUCAGUAUAUAUUUAUAUACUUGAUAUAUUUCCCAGAAAUG